rnacentral:rRNA from 1 species
CCUACGGGGGGCAGCAGUGAGGAAUAUUGGUCAAUGGCCGCAGGGCUGAACCAGCCAAGUCGCGUGAGUGAUGACGGUCCUAUGGAUUGUAAACCUCUGUUGUCAGGGAGCAAAGGACGCCACGUGUGGCGUUUUGCGAGUACCUGACGAAAAAGCAUGGGCUAACUCUGUGCCCGCAGCCGCGGUAAUACGGAGGAUGCGAGCGUUAUCCGGAUUUACUGGGGGUAAAGGGAGCGUAGACGGUGAAGCAAGUCUGAUGUGAAAGGUCGGGGCCCAACCCCGGGACUGCAUUGGAAACUGUUGAACUAGAGUACAGGAGAGGUAAGCGGAAUUCCUAGUGUAGCGGUGAAAUGCGUAGAUAUUAGGAGGAACACCAGUGGCGAAGGCGGCUUACUGGACUGUAACUGACGUUGAGGCUCGAAAGCGAGGGGAGCAAACAGGAUUAGAUACCCGUGUAGUC